UACGUAGGGGGCUAGCGUUGUCCGGAAUCAUUGGGCGUAAAGAGCGUGUAGGCGGCUCGGUAAGUCCGGUGUGAAAGUCCAGGGCUCAACCCUGGAAUGCCAGUGGAAACUGUCGAGCUAGAGUCCGGAAGAGGCGAGUGGAAUUCCUGGUGUAGCGGUGAAAUGCGCAGAUAUCAGGAGGAACACCAAUGGCGAAGGCAGCUCGCUGGGACGGUACUGACGCUGAGACGCGAAAGCGUGGGGAGCAAACAGG
rnacentral:rRNA from 1 species